rnacentral:rRNA from 1 species
UACAGAGGGUGCAAGCGUUAAUCGGAAUUACUGGGCGUAAAGAGCACGUAGGUGGUUAAUUAAGUUGGAUGUGAAAUCCCCGGGCUUAACCUGGGAGUGUCAUUCAAAACUGGUUAACUUGAGUACGGUAGAGGGAAGUGGAAUUUCCGGUGUAGCGGUGAAAUGCAUAGAUAUCGGAAGGAACAUCAGUGGCGAAGGCGACUUCCUGGACUGACACUGACACUGAGGAGCGAAAGCCAGGGGAGCAAACGGG